AGCUCAGUGGUAGAGCACCCGCUUCAUAUGCGGGAAAACUGGGUUCGAUUCUCGG
rnacentral:tRNA from 1 species